UUGCUUUUUGAAGAAUAUUUAUUGACAUGGGAAAAUGCUCACAAUAUGUUAAAGAAAGCAGGAUACAAAUCUGUAAAUACAGUAUGAUCCCAGUCUUGUAAUAAAAUAAAUUAUAUAUGCAUAGAAAAUAUACAGGACAGAAAUACACUAAAACAUUAACAGUGAUUAUCUUGGUGGUGGGAUUUGGGUGAAUUAACUUUAAUUUUCUGCAUUUUCCAAACUUUUCAUAAUGAACAUAUAUUACUUUCAUAAUGGGAGAGGUGGUGGUGGGGAGAAGUCCAUACAGGUGACACCUUACACCUAGUACUGGGAGGCAGUGAGACUGAUGUGGUAAGGGGAUACACUGUACUUGUACCGCCUCGGGCAGUGUCACUGUUUAUAAAGGAGGGAAGUAAACACCUGUCUCCCCCCUCCCAGGACCACUGGGUAUGGGAAAGGGGCCCCAAGCAUCUGGCAGUUGUUACUCUACAGCAGCAGCUCUAGUAGCUUAUUUUAGUACAUGCUCACAUGCCCCGGAGCAGCAGGGCUGUGGACGUGAGGGACCAAAGAGCACGGAUGGCCACUGUACUCUCCUCAUCCCUACUGUGGGCCACCUCGGCAAGCAUCUGUCUGGGGGAAGUCUGCAGUCCUGGUCUCUCACCUAAAGAAUUCCAGGUCCUUGUUUGAAAUCCAGCCCUGAGCAACUCUUCCACUCACAGAUCAAUUCCAGGUUACCUCCCUGCUUACAAAAUUCCUUAAACUGGUUCUUCUGAAAUGGUUAUUGCUUAAAAUGGCCUGAGAAUGCCUGCCCUCCAGCACUCCAGGGUCCUAGGAGGCAUGGUGAGGACCCAGGUGGUCAGGGUGGUGAGGGGAGGGAGGGAGGUGCCAGACUUGGACUCCUGUUUGCUAGGACACUGGGAAACUGAGGCCUGCCAGAGAAGGUCUCUAACAAGAGAUGAGAUGAGGUUACAUGUCAUUAGAGACCUGAAAAGCCCAGCAGGUAGAAAGCACUUAGCAGAUGUUCGUUCUCUUUCCAGGGGCAAAAUGAGGUCCUUCCACUCCCCCUGCAAAUGCUCUCUUCAAAAACAAAGCUUAGUGCUUAGUACCCAGUGCAGGGGAAACUCAAAGUGAAACUCUUGAAAGCACAAGAACACAGCUACUUGACCAGGACUGUUCAAACACUUAGCCUGCAUAAGCUGGCAAGAUGCUAUUCCAGUAAACAGAUCUUCAUUUAGGGAAGCUGACACUUAUGAGAAAGCUAUUGGACUGUAGAAAUUAUAAAAAUACUUUAAAAUGCAUUUGUAGAAUGAAGUAACAAAAAUACUUUGUCUAAACUUUUUUUCACAUAAUCUAAAUUUAUGAAUUGCCAAAUUUCAUUUUAUUUACUGUUAAAAAUGGGCAACCUACCACUUUUCCAACUAUCUGGAUGAAGAUCCUAAAGGGAGUGUAUUGUAUUCUUUCUAGCCUUUUAUUCUGGAGUAUUUUGGAUUUACUUAGGUUUUUAAAAAUAAAUUCUGGGUUCUCUCUUUGAGAAUUUGUCAAUGGGCCAUAUUGUAGGUACAGAUCCUUCUGGGCCAACCAGUGUCCUCUGGGAACCAGGCCGUCCCAGAUUUGCGAUGCCUGGUGUAGAUCUCCUCCUCCUCCCUACCUUCCUAUCUGGUUUUCAGCUGGCCUUCAGUGGCUCUUGGUAGACCUGCCUUCUAUCAAGCAGCCGUCUCCUCUGCCAUUUUUUUUUUUUAAUGGGCUUGAAAGCCAGAUAACCUGCUAGAAACAUAUGCAAAUUUUAGUAAAGAGGUGAAAAGAGAGAUUCUUGAGGAUCUCUCCUAUGAGCAAGAGACUCUGGUGAUCUCUUUUGGCAGCUCAAAGGCCUUUAAAAAGUCCAUCUUUGAACAGUUGUUUUGUCAGAGAAGGGAUCUCUGAAUAAAUGACAUUUUCCACUAAUACUCUGUGUAUGUUACCUAUCCUUAAAAGGGCUACUGUGGUAAGGGAGGUAAUGGAUGUGAAAGCACUUUAGAAAAGCAUAAACUCUGAAAUAUUGUUUACCCCAUGUAUCUAUAAAGAAACACACACAGAUGGCUAAAUUGAAUCAACCCCAAUGUUUUAUUUAAUUUAAAGUUUUAAAAGGCAGUGGUUAAGCACAUUAUCUAUGUGUAUAUAUGUAUAUAUGUAUGUAUAUGUAUACAUACAUACAUAUAUAAAAGGAAACCAACCCCUUUCAGCUUUAGCCACUGAUUAGCUAGGCCCACUGUCUAUUGCAGGAUUCAUAUUCUACUUCUUCAUAUGACCAAUUCUAAAAGUAAAAAUAAACAGCCUUAAUCAGUUUAACAGUAACUAUCUGUGUUUCUUUUUUUUUUUAAAUAAAUAAAGUUACCAUUAAACUGAUCACAUACGGUAGAAAGUAGAACACACACACAAGCGCACACACAGUCCCCAGUUUAAAACCUGUGACAUAUGAAUGACCUAUAUGUACAAAUGGGUGCUGCUGACUUCCUCCAUCCCUGGUGGAGGCCACGAGAGAACUCCCAGUGUGCCGGGAGGCCCCAUCCCCUCUGCUGGGUUGGAGGAUGUGUGUUCCUGGCACCCCGAGUUAGACCUCAGAAUGCAUGCUCCCAUGCAAUGAUACAGAUGGGGGUUCAGUUCUAUGCUACUAGUGUUAAGGUACAUAAGGGAAUAAAUAGGCAUCUGUAGCUGCCUCAGAACUAAACCAUCAUUUAUAACCCUUUAUAGGGAGAAAUGUAUUCUGAAGUUCUCGAUAAGGGACUUACAAACUUUUAGAAUGUAAUCUGUUUGUAAGUCUGGGGCUGUGUGUGUGCAUGUUGUGUGUGCAUUUCCACAUAUUUGUACAAAAUUGAAAUGAAGAGUGGGGCCAGGUUUAUGGAGCAGCUGCUUGGCUUCCAUGUAGUCGGUUCUGAUCUAAUAGGUCACUUGCCUCAGCCCUUAGCAGCUUGCUCUGCUGCCGACGCGCCUCCGUCUGCUGGAGAGAUUCAGAAGGGGCAGCUUUCACAAGCGAGAGGAAGGCCACGACUCAAUCUUCUAAGAACCUUGGCAAACAGAACGGC
rnacentral:lncRNA from 1 species